rnacentral:misc_RNA from 1 species
AGCCUCCAGUCCACACUCUGCGUGUUUUUGUGUCCUGCCAGGCACCGUGGUCUCAUCCGCCUGCACAGCUGAGUCCAGUGGGAGCUGACGCCAUGACCCUCACCCUCUCAGUCCUGAUUUGCCUCGGGCUGAGUGUGGGCCCCAGGACCUGCGUGCAGGCAGGCACCCUCCCCAAACCCACCCUCUGGGCUGAGCCAGCCUCUGUGAUAGCUCGGGGGAAGCCCGUGACCCUCUGGUGUCAGGGGCCCCUGGAGACUGAGGAGUACCGUCUGGAUAAGGAGGGACUCCCAUGGGCCCGGAAGAGACAGAACCCACUGGAGCCUGGAGCCAAGGCCAAGUUCCACAUUCCAUCCACGGUGUAUGACAGUGCAGGGCGAUACCGCUGCUACUAUGAGACCCCUGCAGGCUGGUCAGAGCCCAGUGACCCCCUGGAGCUGGUGGCGACAGGAAAAACCCUCAGGUGUGGUCGAACCCCAGUGACCUCCUGGAGAUUCUGGUCCCAGGCGUGUCUAGGAAGCCCUCCCUCCUGAUCCCGCAGGGCUCUGUCGUGGCCCGCGGAGGCAGCCUGACCCUGCAGUG